UAUCCUACGGGAGGCAGCAGUCGGGAAUAUUGCGCAAUGGAGGAAACUCUGACGCAGUGACGCCGCGUGCAGGAAGAAGGUUUUCGGAUUGUAAACUGCUUUAGACAGGGAAGAAACAAGACAGUACCUGUAGAAUAAGCUCCGGCUAACUACGUGCCAGCAGCCGCGGUAAUACGUAGGGAGCAAGCGUUAUCCGGAUUUACUGGGUGUAAAGGGAGCGUAGACGGCUGUGCAAGUCUGAAGUGAAAGCCCGUGGCUCAACCGCGGAACUGCUUUGGAAACUGUAUAGCUUGAGUACUGGAGAG
rnacentral:rRNA from 1 species